AUGGAGGGAGACCGGGAGGCGCGGGGGGCGUCGAGGGAAGACCGAGCCGGGGCCGAGUUCGAAAUGGAGUCCUUGGGAAGCCAGGUCCCGGAGCUGGAGCAGCCGCAGGUCCCCGCGGAGAAAAGACGCCCUGAGAGUCCCGAGAGCAGCUUGAGUCUGGCCCCCGCCAGAGAGGCGGCGGGCGCGGGCCAGGACAUGUCGGGCGGGAAGAUGCUGCCCUCGCCUCGCCCCGCGCCUCUGCGAUUGCUGCCACCCAGCCUGGGCUAUGGCGCCUUCCGCCGCCAGGCGUCGACGGGCCCGGAGCCGCCGUCUCCGGGCCCCGCCGCGGCCGAGCAGCCCCGGGACGGCGAGGCGCCGGAGGCCGAGCUGAUACCCAAGGCCGCUCCGGGUGAGCCAGCUCCGGGCACCUGGACCCCGGUGGAACUUCAGGUGGACGUGCGCGUGAAAUCCGUGGGCUCGGCCGGCGGCAGCCGCGCGCCCUCGCCGGUGCCCUCCACGCGCUUCCUCACGGUCCCGGUGCCCGAGUCCCCGGGCUUCUCCCGCCACACCUCCCCCGCGCACACGCUCCUGCGGCGGACCCCGUCCCCGGGAGGCACGUGGGGCCGCGGCACGCCGCCCGCCGCCUCCGGGACUGAGCGCGGCCUCGACGCCCAGGGCUGCGCCAGUUCCGCGGAGGGGGGCGCAGAGCCCCCGGGCUCCCCCACGUGCCGCUGCCGCUGCCGGGAGGACGCCGUGCUCCUGCCCCACGCCGAGCUGUACGGCGACAAGAAGAUGUCCCGGAUCAUAAAGCGCGUAGGGCUGCCCAUGUACAUGAGGUCCCUGCGCUGGGCCCUGGCAGUCAUGGCUGUGCUCCUGGCGGUGUUGGCGGUGGCUGUUGUGGCCCUGGCCUCGAAAACAGGGACCAGAUGCCGCCCAUGCCCCGCGGGCUGGAUGUGGUCCGAGGGGCAGUGCUACUACCUCGCAGCCGAAGCCGAGGCCUGGGAGACCAGCCAGGCUUUCUGCUCAGCCCACCACGCUACCCUCCCCCUGCUGAGACACACCCAGGAUUUCCUGAGCAGACACCCGGUCACCAAGUACUCCUGGGUGGGAGCCCGACGAGGCCCCCAGGGCUGGCACUGGAUCGACGGGACCCCCCUGCCACCCCAGCUGCCUCUCUGUCCUCUCGCCCUCCCCCAGGCUCCCAGAGGAAGACCAGGACCAGCCGGAUCUCGAGUGCGGGCGCUUGGAGGGAGGCAAGCUGGUGGCUUCGGACUGUGCCUCCCCCAGACCCUGGGUCUGUGCCAAGGGGACCAAGUGAAUUGGGCUUCCGCCUGCCCUGAGUCUGCUGGGGGCAUGCGGCCCCUGGGGAGGCCAGGUUGAGAGCUGGGGCAGCCACCUCCCUGGACCCGGGUGCCCAGGUCUCCCCGCUAGGUGCUCGAUGGUCCUGCCUCAGUGAACCAGGGAGUGGGUCCCGGGGCAGGAAGAUGGGGUCUGCGGGAGAGGAGAGCCGCGGCGGCCCGGAGGCUGAGCCCCCGGCUGGAUCUCCAGCUGCUUAAGUGCAUUUGCUGUGACCCUGUGUGGUUUUUUUUUUUAAAGAAUUCUAAGCCUGUUUCUCCCUUGUUAAACCAGCCAUUCCCCAUUCCCUCAAGUAUCUGCUGCCUCACAGGUGCAUGCCCUUUCAGAGAACAGAGGACUCACAGGUGAUCCCAGCCUGGGUUCUCCUUGAGCCCACGGAGGGAAGCUCCUAUUUCAUGCCUGGGAUUUGGCAGCAAUGACGUCAUUGCUAUAAAGACCCUUUCCAGGCGGUCAGAUGCACCCACGGCGUGUGGAGGACGGGGCAGGAGAAGGGGCCACCCCGGAGGAGAGAGGAAGCAGGUCCCGUCCCUGCCCCGGGAACCGGCAGAGAGAUUCUCCAGGCAAGAAUACUGGAGUGAGGGGUGCCAUUUCCUCCUCCGGGGGAUCUUCCCGACCCAGGGAUCGAACCCACGUCUCUUGCACCUCCUGCGCUGGUAGGUGGAUUCUAUACCACUAGCACCCCCGGGAGGCCCUUCUGGGCUAGAGAGGCUUCUCCGAAGGAAAGAAACUACCUGCCCUUGCUAAUGGUGCCAAUCAGGCACAAACCAACCUUCCUCUUUAAAGGCAGACCCGGCGCCCGAACUCCUCAGAGAAAGCUUGAGUUACACUAAGAGCUUGUACAGAGUGUGUGGCUGCCUGGGAGAAAGGGGUGGAGAGCCUUGAGAACACACCCGACGAGCAAUAAAAAUCUUAGAAACACGCUGGUGUUUCUCAUGACUUCCUUCCAACUACAAAUUAGCCUAGAGCUUGAUGACGUGUCCCGGUUUAACUCUCUUCAGAGCCCUUCUCGGGGAACGUUCUGGCGUCGGCAGGCUGGUUUCACGUCAGUUUCAGGGUCACCACCGGCUUGGGGCCUCUGGGCUCAAUGCCACUUAGGUUCACCUGCGG